rnacentral:rRNA from 1 species
AUUGAACGCUGGCGGCAUGCCUUACACAUGCAAGUCGAACGGCAGCACGGGAGCAAUCCUGGUGGCGAGUGGCGAACGGGUGAGUAAUAUAUCGGAACGUGCCCAGUCGUGGGGGAUAACGCAGCGAAAGCUGUGCUAAUACCGCAUACGAUCUACGGAUGAAAGCGGGGGAUCGCAAGACCUUGCGCGAUUGGAGCGGCCGAUAUCAGAUUAGCUAGUUGGUGGGGUAAAAGUCCACCAAGGCGACGAUCUGUAGCUGGUCUGAGAGGACGACCAGCCACACUGGAACUGAGACACGGUCCAGACUCCUACGGGAGGCAGCAGUGGGGAAUUUUGGACAAUGGGCGCAAGCCUGAUCCAGCAAUGCCGCGUGCAGGAUGAAGGCCUUCGGGUUGUAAACUGCUUUUGUACGGAACGAAACGGCGAGCUCUAAUACAGUUUGCUAAUGACGGUACCGUAAGAAUAAGCACCGGCUAACUACGUGCCAGCAGCCGCGGUAA